rnacentral:rRNA from 1 species
GUUAUAUGGUCAAGUGACUAAGUGCAUACGGUGAAUGCCUUGGCAGUCAGAGGCGAUGAAGGACGUAGUAGCCUGCGAAAUGCUUUGGGGAGCUGGCAAACAAGCUUUGAUCCAGAGAUGUCCGAAUGGGGAAACCCACCUACUAUAAGGUAGGUAUCUCACACUGAAUACAUAGGUGUGUAGAGGCGAACGAGGGGAACUGAAACAUCUAAGUACCUUCAGGAACAGAAAUCAACCGAGAUUCCCCCAGUAGCGGCGAGCGACCGGGGAUCAGCCUGCAAGUGAUAGCAUAAGAUUUAGUGGAACGGUCUGGAAAGUCCGGCGAUAGAGGGUGAUAGCCCCGUACACGAAAAGUCUUUUGUGGUACUAAGCUUGCGAUAAGUAGAACGGGACACGUGGUAUCUUGUUUGAAUAUGGGGGGACCAUCCUCCAAGGCUAAAUACUCCUGACUGACCGAUAGUGAACCAGUACCGUGAGGGAAAGGCGAAAAGAACCCCGGAGAGGGGAGUGAAAUAGAUCCUGAAACCGUAUGCGUACAAGCAGUGGGAGCAGACUUGUUCUGUGACUGCGUACCUUUUGUAUAAUGGGUCAGCGACUUAUUGUCUGUAGCGAGCUUAACCGAAUAGGGGAGGCGUAGGGAAACCGAGUCUUAAUAGGGCGACUUAGUUGCAGGCAAUAGACCCGAAACCGGGCGAUCUAUCCAUGGCCAGGGUGAAGGUUAGGUAACACUGACUGGAGGCCCGAACCCACUUAUGUUGAAAAAUGAGGGGAUGAGCUGUGGAUCGGAGUGAAAGGCUAAUCAAGCCCGGAGAUAGCUGGUUCUCCUCGAAAUCUAUUUAGGUAGAGCGUCGUGUCUUACCCUGGGGGGUAGAGCACUGUUUGGGCUAGGGGGUCAUCCCGACUUACCAACCCCAUGCAAACUCCGAAUACCCAGGAGUACAAUCACGGCAGACAGACAGCGGGUGCUAACGUCCGUUGUCGAGAGGGCAACAACCCAGACCGCCAGCUAAGGUCCCCAAUACCAGUUAAGUGGGAAACGAUGUGGGAAGGCACAGACAGCUAGGAGGUUGGCUUAGAAGCAGCCACCCUUUAAAGAAAGCGUAAUAGCUCACUAGUCGAGUCGGCCUGCGCGGAAGAUAUAACGGGGCUAAACUGGUAACCGAAGCUGCGGAUGCUUAUAACCUUUGGGUUAUAGGCAUGGUAGAGGAGCGUUCUGUAAGCUGUUGAAGGUGGAUUGAGAAGUCUGCUGGAGGUAUCAGAAGUGCGAAUGCUGACAUGAGUAACGAUAAGGGGGGUGAAAAACCUCCCCGCCGGAAGAUCAAGGUUUCCUGUCCAACGCUAAUCGGGACAGGGUUAGGCGGCCCCUAAGGCGAGGCAGACAUGCGUAGUCGAUGGGAAGCAGGUUAACAUUCCUGCGCUGCUUUUUACUGCGAUGGGGGGACGGAGAAGGCUAGGCAAGCGCGGCGUUGGUUGUCCGCGUUUAAGGUUGUAGGCUUGAGACUUAGGUAAAUCCGGGUUUCUUUAAGGCCGAGAGCUGAUGACGAGCAUUUGCGCAAGCUCAUGUGAAGUUGUUGAUGCCAUGCUUCCAGGAAAAUCCUCUAAGCUUCAGGUAAAGAGUAACCGUACUGUAAACCGACACAGGUGAUCAGGUAGAGAAUACCAAGGCGCUUGAGAGAACUCGGGUGAAGGAACUAGGCAAAAUGGUACCGUAACUUCGGGAGAAGGUACGCCGGUUUUGGUGAUGGGACUUGCUCCCUGAGCUGAGGCCGGUCGAAGUGACCAGGUGGCUGCGACUGUUUAUUAAAAACAUAGCACUCUGCAAACACGUAAGUGGACGUAUAGGGUGUGACGCCUGCCCGGUGCCGGAAGGUUAAUUGAUGGGGUUAUCUUCGGAGAAGCUCUUGAUCGAAGCCCCGGUAAACGGCGGCCGUAACUAUAACGGUCCUAAGGUAGCGAAAUUCCUUGUCGGGUAAGUUCCGACCUGCACGAAUGGCGUAACGAUGGCCACACUGUCUCCACCCGAGACUCAGUGAAAUUGAAAUUGCGGUUAAGAUGCCGUAUACCCGCGGCUAGACGGAAAGACCCCGUGAACCUUUACUAUAGCUUCACACGGGACUUUGAUCUUAUUUGUGUAGGAUAGCUGGGAGACUUUGAAGCGGUGGCGCUAGCCAUCGUGGAGUCAACCUUGAAAUACCAGCCUGAUAAUAUUGAGGUUCUAACUCAGGUCCAUUAUCUGGAUCGAGGACAGUGUGUGGUGGGUAGUUUGACUGGGGCGGUCUCCUCCCAAAGAGUAACGGAGGAGCACGAAGGUGCGCUAAUCAUGGUCGGAAAUCAUGAGGUUAGUGUAAAGGCACAAGCGCGCUUGACUGCGAGACUGACAAGUCGAGCAGGUACGAAAGUAGGUCUUAGUGAUCCGGUGGUUCUGUAUGGAAGGGCCAUCGCUCAACGGAUAAAAGGUACUCCGGGGAUAACAGGCUGAUACCGCCCAAGAGUUCACAUCGACGGCGGUGUUUGGCACCUCGAUGUCGGCUCAUCACAUCCUGGGGCUGAAGCCGGUCCCAAGGGUAUGGCUGUUCGCCAUUUAAAGUGGUACGCGAGCUGGGUUUAGAACGUCGUGAGACAGUUCGGUCCCUAUCUGCCGUGGGCGUUGGAGAAUUGAGGGAAGCUGCUCCUAGUACGAGAGGACCGGAGUGGACGAACCUCUGGUGUUCCGGUUGUAUCGCCAGAUGCAUUGCCGGGUAGCUACGUUCGGACAGGAUAACCGCUGAAAGCAUCUAAGCGGGAAGCCCCUCCCAAGAUUAGUUCUCCCUGGGAAUUUAAUUCCCCUGAAGGGCCGUCGAAGACUACGACGUUGAUAGGCUGGGUGUGUAAGCGCUGUGAGGCGUUGAGCUAACCAGUACUAAUUGCCCGUGAGGCUUGACCAUAUAAUCUAAG